UAUGACUGUAUUGGAGAGGAGCCACUCUCAGUCCUUACAGAUGCUUGGAGGGACUCACCACUAUGCUGUGAUUACAGUAGACGAAAGCACGGCAGUCAUCAUUCAAGAGCAGGAGGAGCUGUGUCAGGAGCGGGCCUGUGAGAGUCUAGUGAUUCGACUGACUGCUCUGUCUCUGCAGUACAGCUGCUGCUGGCUCAUCCUUCACUGCCAGCAGGACUCUGGGUUAGUACUCAACACCAACGCGCGCACAUUUCCCACAGAUUACAUUUUUGAAUUGUCUUUGUGGUCGUCUCUGUGGGUGUAGGUUGACCAGCGAGGGCUUCAACAACCUGGUGUUGGUUUACUCCGCUCUGGUGCUGUUUGGCCUCAAGACUGAGGACCUGGAUGUCAAGGUGCUGAUUGUAUCAGAAGUGGUGGACAUUGCCAAAUGGAUCUGCCAGAUAGCCUUCCAUACACUGCUGUCCAGUGACAGAGAUCCUCUCAGCUACCUGGACAGAGAAUGGCUUUCUGUGAUUUCC